UACACGCUGUGACUAGCAUAUCAAUAAGCGGAGGAAAAGAAACUAACAAGGAUUCCCCUAGUAACGGCGAGUGAAGCGGGAAGAGCUCAAAUUUGAAAUCUUAAAGGGUUUCCCUUUACGAAUUGUAGUUUAAAGAAGUGUUUUCUGUUGAGGUUUUGGUAAAAGUUCUUUGGAAUAGGACAUCAUAGAGGGUGAGAAUCCCGUAUUUGACCUUUACUUUCAACUUUGUGAUACACUUUCAAAGAGUCGGAUUGUUUGGGAAUGCAGUCCAAAAUGGGUGGUAAAUUUCAUCUAAAGCUAAAUAUUGGCGAGAGACCGAUAGCGAACAAGUACCGUGAGGGAAAGAUGAAAAGAACUUUGAAAAGAGAGUUAAACAGUACGUGAAAUUGUCAAAAGGGAAGCGUUUGACACCAGUGUUGUUUUUCUGAAAAUCAAUUAAAGAACUGUUUAUGCUAAGUUGUUUAGACUUUAUCAGCUAACUGUUUAGUUUUGAGCUUUUCUUUAAUGCACUUUUCAGUUAACAAGUCAACAUCAAUUUCUUUUGCUGUAAAAAAGCUUGAGGAAGGUGGCUUGAGAUUCGUCUUAAGUGUUUAUAGCCUCUUGCCUAUGCAGUCGGAGAGAUUGAGGUCUGCAGCGUAGAUCCUUCGGGGCUAAAUGCAUUUGUGCUAAGUUAUAGCAUUUUAUAGACAACUUGUUGACUAUGAUUUGUCUUGUAGCUUACUCGCUUAUGUUAUUUUACCUACGCUUAGGAUGUUGACGCGCGUGUGUGCGUG
rnacentral:rRNA from 1 species